UGCAAGGGCACUCUGUGUUACAAGAAAAAAUUGUAUUGUAAAACAAUUUGUAACCUUGCUAGAAGAAUUAUCACAAAAUUUGAAUUAGUUUUCUGUUUCUCAAGGAAUCAAUCAGAAAGUAGUGAAACAUUUU